rnacentral:rRNA from 1 species
UUGUCGUCAGCUCGUGUCGUGAGGAUGUUGGUUAAGUCCCGCAACGAGCGCAACCCCUACUUGUUAGUUGCCAUCAUUCAGUUGGGCACUCUAGCGAGACUGCCGGUAAUAAACCGGAGGAAGGUGGGGAUGACGUCAAAUCAUCAUGCCCCUUAUGACCUGGGCUACACACGUGCUACAAUGGUUGGUACAACGAGUUGCGAGUCGGUGACGGCGAGCUAAUCUCUUAAAGCCAAUCUCAGUUCGGAUUGUAGGCUGCAACUCGCCUACAUGAAGUCGGAAUCGCUAGUAAUCGCGGAUCAGCAUGCCGCGGUGAAUACGUUCCCGGGCCUU